rnacentral:lncRNA from 1 species
AGGUGAAGCUGUGUAGGUGAAGCUUUUUUAAGUGAAGCUUUUCGGGUGAAGUUUUUUUGGGUGAAGCUUUGUGGGUGAAGCUUUUUAGGUGAAGCUUUGUGGGUGAAGCUUUUUUAGGUGAAGCUGUUUGGGUGAAGCUUUUUGGAGGUGAAGUUUUUUUUUUUUUGGGUGAAGCUUUUUUAGGUGAAGCUUUUUGGGUGAAACUUUUUGGAUGAAGCUUUGAUGGUGAAGCUUUGUAGAUGAAGCUUUGUAGAUGAAGCUUUCUAGGUGAAGCUUUGAUGGUGAAGCUUUGAUGGUGAAAGUAUGUAGAGGGAGCUUUCUAGGUGAAGCUUUUUUAGGUGAAGCUGUGUAGGUGAAGCUUUUUUAAGUGAAGCUUUUCGGGUGAAGUUUUUUGGGUGAAGCUUUGUGGGUGAAGCUUUUUAGGUGAAGCUUUGUGGGUGAAGCUUUUUUAGGUGAAGCUGUUUGGGUGAAGC